GUGUGUGUGUGUGUGUGUGUGUGUGUGUGUGUGUGUGAGAGAGAGAGUGUGAGAGACGGGUAGCUUCGACCCGCUCAUUGAAACAUUUAAAACGUUGUAGUCACCGAUAGACGAGGUUCACAGGGAAAUCUUGUCUCUUGUCUCUUUUCUCUUCAUCCUCUACUUCCUGUCCCAUUCCGCUCUGCUCCUGUCUCUGUUACUCCAGAUGAAACUUUUUGGACUCCAGCUGUUGCCUGAUGUGGAUCGUUAUCUAUCUACCUCUUGUCGAUGUGGCGCAGGGGUAGAGAGGGCGCGCCGGGAACUGCAAGGUACUGUGUCACUAAACGGGGCUGUCAACAAAAGGAGAUUUGAUGAAUGGAUUUAGAUUCAAUGACAGCACUGAGCAUGUUGCAGCUCCUGGAAGGAUGCACAUGUAGCCCGGUUGUCUUUAUUCUUUAGGAGCAGAUUCCAUAUUUUGGACUCAAGGCAGGAGGCAAAGCGGACGUGGUUCCCUCCUGCUGUUCGGGACCAUGCAGACGCCCUAUUGGGUGUUUUCAUGUAGAUAAAAGAUCUAUGUAUUGAACCUGCAGGACGAUUAUACCAAUUUUCAUUAUUCAUUCUGUUCAAUGUGACCCCAACGUGUGGUCUACAGUCAAGCCUUUAAAAACACUCCACCAACCGUCUUACCACUGCUGCUAAUAAAAAAAAAUGAAAUGGAUAAGG
ensembl:lncRNA